AAUCUCUUAAAACCGCUAGAAACCGCAACCGCCCGCAUCCACAAACUCCCGCAGCCGCAACCACAACCGCUGCGUUUGAACCAGUCAAACCCUAAAUGCAAUAUUAGAUUUUUUCUUAAUCAUCGACUCAUUUAACCUAAAAUAUAUUACUAUAAAAAAAGAUCGGUUUUCACCAUUGGUUGAGCACAUCAUAUUGCAACACUGCCAAUAAGAACAAACAAUCGAUUCACAAAAUAUGUCAUCUGUUACUUCUAUUGUCGAUUUGAAACCGUUCAAAACCAGCUGGACGAUCAAGGUGAAGGUUAUUCGAUUGUGGAAACAAACAACUGGUGGUGGUGGUGAGACCAUUGAUAUGGUUUUGUGCGAUGUUAAGGUUUGGAUGUUUUUUUUAAAAAACAUUACCCAUGUACGGUUUCUUUGGAUGUUCAAAAUAUUGAAUCAUGUCCAGUUUAAAAAAUCUCAACUUCAUUGUCUAACCCUGCGCAAGGCGCGGGUCUUAUCCUAGUACAAUAUUAAAAGGGGAUAUGAACUCCUUUUAGAGUGUCCACGUAGGCACAAAAAAUCAACCAAUGAAAAACUGUAUUUUUGCCACGUCACACCUUUGUUUUGUUGACAAAGAAUACAACUAAUUUGGGUUGAACAAAAUUGAAAGUGGCCCUGUAAAGAACAACCCAUCUCUUUCUUGGACAUUUUACCCUUCUACUCUGACUCUUCCAAUUCACUAUGUAACUACCCCUUUCGUGUUUCAAAAAAAAAAAAAAACUACCCCUUUCAUAUUCUUUCUUUCUCUCCCGAGUCAUCUCCUUCUGAAACUCGAUCUGAUCACUGAGAAUCUACGACGACGAAGAAGGUGGAGGAGGAAGAGGAAGAAUGAGAAUCUCAGGCUAUGUAAUCGUUGUUCUAUCUGUAACUUUAUUCUAUUGCGUCGAUCGUAGUGUUCACGCGCUUCCCGUCGUCCUCGUCCUCUCCAACGACGAUCUCAACAGCGGCGGCGACGAUCCCGGAGUCGGAGACUCCUCUAACUUCGACGAAUUCGGCGAAUCCGAACCCAAAUCCGAAGAGGAGCUCGAUCCCGGCUCGUGGCGACGAAACUUUCGAUAGGUUGACGGAGGAAGUGGUGGAGGAGAUAGAGGCGGCUUCUUCAUCCGGAGAUCCGCACUCGCAGUCGCUGAUGAGCUUCGUCUACGGGAUGGGGAUGAAGAGGGAGAAAAGCAAAAGCAAAUCCUUCCUUCACCAUAACUUUGUUGCUGAAGGUGGGAACAUGCAGUCAAAGAUGACACUUGCCUUCACGUAUCUGCGACAAGAUAUGCAUGAUAAGGCUGUGAAACUAUAUGCUAAACUAGCAGAAACCGUUGUGAAUAGCUUCCUGAUCUCAAAGGGACUCUCCCGUGGUGGAACCAACUAGGAUCCACAGCGGGAUUGAAGAAAACAAAGGCGCUCUAAGGAAAUCACGAGGGGAGGAGGAUGAGGAUUUUCAGAUAUUGGAGUAUCAAGCGCAGAAAGGCAAUGCUGUGGCUAUGUACAAGAUUGAACUGUUCUACUACUUUGGUCUGCGAGGGUUAAGGCGUGAUCACACCAAGGCGUUGCACUGGUUUUCGAAGGCGGUGGAGAAAGGAGAGCCGAGGUCUAUGGAGCUAAUUUUGUUUCCUCAUGUAGUCGUAUAAUGUUCAUUUGUAUCUCUAUUUUCGUUACAUGUUCUAUUAAAUUUGAAAUUUCGAGGCAUAAAGUUAAAUGCAAUAAACAUUGUUUCAGUCGGACGCCUCCUCUGCCUUUGGGAUUCACAUAACAUCAAGAAGAAUGAUGAAUUUGUGGGAAUCAGCCUCCUCUUACUAGAUGAACAUGUAUCGACAUCUUCUCUUUCUCUGGAAUAAUAUAUUCAAUCUCUGUCUAAUCAAUACUCAAUAAUCAGUUAACAACUUCACGCUCAAUACUGUGAUCAACCUUAGAACUCCCUGUAUAGCUUUAAAUUAACGUUUGCAUAUUAAAAUUCAACUAAAUCUACUUAUAUUACGUAUUGAUUCGCUGAACAAUUCAUCCACUUCCAGAUGUAGUUGUCCAAAUCCUUUCCGUUCAAGGCUCUGAUCUGAACAACUCUGCAGCAACAACUCGACUUGCCGUCUGUUUCCUCACUGACCCGUAAGCCAUGAAUUCAUCUUUAAAUAGUUUUGAUCCUUAUUUCAUUUAGUUCUUUCUUUCAAAUAAUUCCGUUGUGGUGUAAUGGAAUGGAAUUCACCACGGUGAAUCCAAAAAUAUUUGGAGGUAUGGUUAUCUACUUUAAAGAAUAAAAUAUGUUCAUAGUUAUAUUUUCCUGCCAAAAAAGUAUUUUUCAUACUUAUAUAUUAUAUUUUACUUAAUAACAUCAUCUAAGAAACACUUGGGCUUACGCAGGUAAUCUCUAUGACUCUAUCUAAACUCAACACCAGCAACAAAAUUUUACUUUGACAACACCAUUCAUGCUACCAAAAAGUUUACAAACAGGUAAAUCAAGUCUUACCAGCCAUAUUAAGAUCAUGUCUUGGCCACGCUUAAAUGUGCUAAUCUUUCCCACAUACUGCCUUCACUACAACUCAUAUUUCAAUAUCUGUUAAUCUUUUCGAAACAUACUUCCUCCAUGCAGCUUUGUGGUGCUGCAGCGGAGGUCUUUCCCGAGUUGAUACCAUGGAAGGAAAAAAAAAGAGUUCGUAUCAAUUGGAGAACUUCACACGUUCACUGCCAACUCCAGUGAACAGGUAAAACUCACGCUUUCAACAAUCUUUAGUACUCCUAUGUGGCUUCAAAAUAGUAACAAGUAAUGUUAGGACUUUUCUCCCCAUGAAGACAGAAGAAGCUGAUUUUCUCUGUAAGGCUCAGAUUGUGGGAGUCGUCCAGCAAAAUGGCUUGUCGUUUGUAUCUUGCACAGGUUGUAACAGGAAGCUCGCAAAAUCUCUCUGGUGCAACAGAUGUGUUUCUCCUAACGCACCGAGGUCAUCGGGUAUGUACUGUUCUUCCCGAUCCAUAUUUAAAGGAACACCCUAAUUUGAAUAUAUGUGCACGUUUGACGUACUCUCUCUGCUGUUCUGUGUUAACUAGCUGUUGAUGACGGAAAGGAAAGUGCAACUUUUGUUGUCUUUGACAGGGAGAUGAUCAAACUCAUCAAGAAAGAAGCAAAGUCUGGCUCCUGCAUAGAUACGUUUUAACUUCUUAGAUUGGUUUUAAAAUUUUUUCUCUUACUCUAAAUGCCCCCACAAACGCCAAGCCUACUACAGAUUAGUGGCAGUGGGAGGAAUGGAGCUACCAAAAUGCCUUGAGGAGCUAGCUGGUAAUGGAUACAUUUUCAGCUACGUGUAACUCCAUAUAAUUUCACCUCCAACCACCACACAUUCACCUUCUCUGCCAUUAGUGACAACCUCUUCUUUGGCCCUCAGGUAGAGGUGUGGUAAUCUACGUUUCACACUCUUUGUUCUGAUUUAAUGUCCCACUGUUUUGUAGAGUGGCAACAGGAACAAAGCUCCAGUCGUGGAUCUCAAAUCUGGACAACCAAUAGCAUUUUCCAGCUCCGCUGGUGAUGCGGCGAAGAUAGCACUAGGAAAUGAUGGAGCAAAUCAGCCAGGUUCUGCAGACUGCAGGCAACGACAAAACCCGCAAACGCCCACGUGAGUGAUAGUAUCAAGGCUAUCAAACCGUCAACUCCACUUAGCUUUUGUCUCAUUUUAAUUUAUUAUAUCCAUAUAUUUUCCCUACUUUGAAUUUUGGUUCUUUGGAUUUUCUGAAAAUUUCUCUUAAAGAAUUAAAUAAUUAAAGUAAUGUUGACGUGUCUU